rnacentral:lncRNA from 1 species
CUUGGAAUUGCUGUUACUCUGAGAGGCUAGUUGGGUCAUACUCCCUGGAAAAUUAUGGAAAACUGAUUGGCAGUUGAAAGAGGAAAACCGGUUGGAGUUUGGGGAAUAGUUUGUGAUGAAGACAAACUGAAAAGAGAAAGAAAGACAUUUUUUCCUCUGUGUGACUACAGAGUAGAACAGGCCAACUCGACCUACCAAGACCUACUGAAACCUGACUAGGCCCUUAAAAGAGAUGGCAGUUGGAAAAGUGACUUGGAAAGAAUAAGCCUCCCAAACCCUGAAAGAGCUCUGGCAGUUAAUCAACCUCAUCUUCUAUGUGGACAUCCCCGGGAAGCAUACUGCCAAGGUCUUGAAGGAACUUCUAGUCCUUUCCAUAUUCACAGGAUUUUUCAUUCAGCAC